AUUGAACGCUGGCGGCAGGCCUAACACAUGCAAGUCGAGCGGCAGCACGGGUACUUGUACCUGGUGGCGAGCGGCGGACGGGUGAGUAAUGCCUAGGAAUCUGCCUGGUAGUGGGGAUAACGCUCGGAAACGGACGCUAAUACCGCAUACGUCCUACGGGAGAAAGCAGGGGACCUUCGGCCGUUGCGCUAUCAGAUGAG
rnacentral:rRNA from 1 species